ensembl:rRNA 5S_rRNA 5S ribosomal RNA
UGCCACAGUCAUAUCAAUCUGCAGGCCAAGACCGAUACUCACUAAAGCUAAGCAGAGCUGAGCCUAGUCAGUACCUGCAUGGGAGACCACAUGGGAAAACUAUAGGUGCUGUUAGAA